CUUCAUGGUUCAGGCAUUAAAUGACUUUGUCAUUGAACCUUUUCCACACCUCAUAUAAGGGGUCACCACUAAGCUGAGAUAAAUUUGUAAUUCCAUCUAUUAGUUG
rfam:Capsicum annuum cultivar Zunla-1 chromosome 6, whole genome shotgun sequence